UUGCCCGAACCCUCUCCUUCCCCCGACUCUGCUCUUCCUCUCUCGUGAACAAGCGACGCCGACGCGAGGGAUGCUCCAGCUCCGGUGAUUUUUCUUCCCCGGCAUCGACAUCCAUUGAGCUCCGAUACUGCCGAACCCUUCUUCCUCUCACUCUGAUCUCUCUGUUCUCUCACGGAUGAUCCGACGACCCUUUGGUGGCUAGGGCACGGUGAGGAACGAGGUUCGGUGCCGCUGGAUCAAGUUGUGCCAUCGCCGAUCACCGGCGUGAAGAGACAAUUAGGGUUCCACGGGUCACGGAUUGGAGGGGAUCAAUGAGUCUGUUCUAUGGGGAUUCAAUUGAAGAGGUGUUUCUUGAGCUAUGGUUGUGCUUGAUCAGUAGUCUUCCUGCUGGAUUCCUGCUUGAUCCGAUUGAUAGCAGCAAGCGAGGUGCUGUUCAGUGGGUUGUCUAGCUCCAGCAACAACUACCCUUCCUGGCAACACCACUUCUUCGUGUGGAUCUACAGAUCAGAGCUAGGAAUUAAGAGGAGUGAAUUCCAAAUAGGUUCUGUUCUGUCCUGUUUUGUGGAUUGGUUGGCUUCAGCAGUAACUCAUCUUGGUCUCGGCAGCAACAAUCCUCUUGUCCCAACAGCCACAGUAGCUGUGGAAUUGAGGACUCUGUUUCGAGACGGGCGUCUCGGCUUCGGAUUUGGAUUGACUGUACCUUCUAUUGGA